UGACUGUAUGCUACAGUAUGCUGCUGCCGAGCUGGAUUAGCUAGCGAGCUAAUGAAUUUGUUUUGCGGUGUCCUGCACAUCCGAACGCUGUUCCUGGGCGAUUGAAGGAGGAAAGAAGGAAGUGUUGUGGAGGCGUUUGGGUGUUUUUCUUCAUUUUCAGGAUCUGCGAUGGUCAACGAAAAUCCCAGCUCUGCCUACAAGGUCAGCCCGCAACAAGGGAUGUCUGGAGGAGAUGAUCGUGCUCAGAACCCACCUUCUGAACAACAUCAGUCUCAUCACAGCAACACAGCUCAGAGUGGAAGCAACGUUGUGGCACCCCUGGCCACUCACAACAAUAUCGGGGGUUCUCUUACAAGCAACA